rnacentral:tRNA from 1 species
GCCCCGGUGGCGGAAUGGCAUACGCAGCAGGUUGAGGACCUGUGCCGAUUUCGGCGUGGAGGUUCGAGUCCUCUCCGGGGCA